GCGGGAAUGCUGGAAUUGGCAGACAGGCAAGACUAAGGAUCUUGUGCGUCUUGUGCGCGUGUGGGUUCAAGUCCCAUUUCCCGCA
rfam:Anaerostipes sp. 992a contig000003, whole genome shotgun sequence.